rnacentral:rRNA from 1 species
UGCGGCGUGCUUAACACAUGCAAGUCGAACGGAAAGGCCCUGCUUUUGUGGGGUGCUCGAGUGGCGAACGGGUGAGUAACACGUGAGUAACCUGCCCUUGACUUUGGGAUAACUUCAGGAAACUGGGGCUAAUACCGGAUAGGAGCUCCUGCUGCAUGGUGGGGGUUGGAAAGUUUCGGCGGUUGGGGAUGGACUCGCGGCUUAUCAGCUUGUUGGUGGGGUAGUGGCUUACCAAGGCUUUGACGGGUAGCCGGCCUGAGAGGGUGACCGGCCACAUUGGGACUGAGAUACGGCCCAGACUCCUACGGGAGGCAGCAGUGGGGAAUAUUGCACAAUGGGCGGAAGCCUGAUGCAGCAACGCCGCGUGCGGGAUGACGGCCUUCGGGUUGUAAACCGCUUUCGCCUGUGACGAAGCGUGAGUGACGGUAAUGGGUAAAGAAGCACCGGCUAACUACGUGCCAGCAGCCGCGGUGAUACGUAGGGUGCGAGCGUUGUCCGGAUUUAUUGGGCGUAAAGGGCUCGUAGGUGGUUGAUCGCGUCGGAAGUGUAAUCUUGGGGCUUAACCCUGAGCGUGCUUUCGAUACGGGUUGACUUGAGGAAGGUAGGGGAGAAUGGAAUUCCUGGUGGAGCGGUGGAAUGCGCAGAUAUCAGGAGGAACACCAGUGGCGAAGGCGGUUCUCUGGGCCUUUCCUGACGCUGAGGAGCGAAAGCGUGGGGAGCGAACAGGCUUAGAUACCCUGGUAGUCCACGCUGUAAACGGUGGGUACUAGGUGUGGGGUCCAUUCCACGGGUUCCGUGCCGUAGCUAACGCUUUAAGUACCCCGCCUGGGGAGUACGGCCGCAAGGCUAAAACUCAAAGGAAUUGACGGGGCCCCGCACAAGCGGCGGAGCAUGCGGAUUAAUUCGAUGCAGCGCGUAGAACCUUACCUGGGUUUGACAUGGAUCGGGAGUGCUCAGAGAUGGGUGUGCCUCUUUUGGGGUCGGUUCACAGGUGGUGCAUGGCUGUCGUCAGCUCGUGUCGUGAGAUGUUGGGUUAAGUCCCGCAACGAGCGCAACCCUUGUUCACUGUUGCCAGCACGUUAUGGUGGGGACUCAGUGGAGACCGCCGGGGUCAACUCGGAGGAAGGUGGGGAUGACGUCAAGUCAUCAUGCCCCUUAUGUCCAGGGCUUCACGCAUGCUACAAUGGCUGGUACAGAGAGUGGCGAGCCUGUGAGGGUGAGCGAAUCUCGGAAAGCCGGUCUCAGUUCGGAUUGGGGUCUGCAACUCGACCUCAUGAAGUCGGAGUCGCUAGUAAUCGCAGAUCAGCAACGCUGCGGUGAAUACGUUCCCGGGGCUUGUACACACCGCCCGUCAAGUCAUGAAAGUUGGUAACACCCGAAGCCGGUGGCCUAACCGUUGUGGGGGAGCCGUCGAAGGUGGGACUGGUGAUUAGGACUAA